ACACUCCGCCCCGCUUCAGGUGCCCCAAGCCGCGCUGUUUCAGCGCAGCCCAGGGUGAAACGGGAAGCCGGUGAAAACCCGGCGCUGCCCCCGCAACGGUAAGCGAGAGACCUGGAACGCAUCAGCUCGGUCGGCCCCUUGGCCACCCGCCCCAACCACUGUGCCGCACGGCAUGGGAAGGUGGAUGCGCUCCGGCAGGUGAGCCCUCAACGGCCCGCCGCCCCUCGCCGAGCCCGGAGACCGGCCUGCAAGCGCAAAGCUGC
rnacentral:ncRNA from 2 species